AAGCGCAGACGAGUAAAGACAAGAGCGUCCCUUCGGGGACAUCCGAUAAAAUUGGAACGAUACAGAGAAGAUUAGCAUGGCCCCUGCGCAAGGAUGACACGCACAAAUCGAGAAAUGGUCCAAAUUUUUUUUUUCCUUUCCCAAAUUUUGCUCUCUGAUUUAGCAGCAAUGUACACUCUCUCCGAUCAAGCUGCGCUUAUAUGGAUUCCGCUGCGUUUGUUGUGCUCGUGGGAGGAGGUAAAGCUGGGACUUUUCUCUUCUUUUGGGAUCCCCGGCAAGUCCUACUGGGACUAGGGUUUCUUUUCUUAGCGGUGUUCUUAAUGAAGGUGCGCACACACCAUACAUGUAGCUAUCCGGAACUUGGGGAUUGCAUUUAGACUGCCUUAAAACUUCAUCGUGUUAAUGAGCGCUUCUUAAUCUCAACCAGGAAAGUAGCAGGCAUGGCUCUCCCACGGUUCAUUUUCACAACAUCUUUGAAAGGAAAAACCCGUCCUUCAGAAAUCAGAAGUCAAGACGCUUACAGCAGUAACAUUAUUGGAACAGUCUUCGCUCCCAGGAGCAAGGAUGAGUGUAAGUAAAUAGUCCAUGUACUUCCUGUAGUUGUCACCCUGACCCAACUGCACCGCAUGCUAUAUCCUGCAAUGAGGUCUGAGGACCUUGAAUUUAAAUGCCAAACUGUGCCAUUAAAUAACCAACCAGGAAUGCGUUGUAGUGGUGUUUGUAGACUUUGUAGCCAUGGCAGUCGAAGGAGAUUCGAAGUCCGAAGGGGAUUCGAAGUCGGAUUCUGGACUAUAUUUGAGAAGGAAAAUUUGUGAUUAGCAGUAAAGUUUUCUAAACGUGAUGGCGCAGAUGACAUUGAAGUGGAGGAAUCACAGGAGAAGAACUUCAAGAGCCAUGGAAAGGGAGAGUGCUCCGUUUGAUUGCAGAGUUGCUUUACACACGGUUCUGUACAUACGAACAUUGCUUGAAUGCAAAGUUGCAAAAUAGCUUGGUUUACUAUUUCCCAUUUGCGAUUGCUUUGGUGUGUUUGAAUUUGGAA